GACCUGGAGCAGGCAGAUCUACGGCCCAGGCCGUUUUACGCCCCUGUUGUUCCUGAUGCGUCCAGUAGGGGGAGGCUGUACAGUAUGAGCCAUCAGAACAGAAGCGACACGAAUAAGAGAUGGGAAAUGCCUGCAUGAAACUCGUCUAUGAAGAGGGCAAAGACAUGUACACUGCCAACAUGCAUGUUAUUGCC